UACGUAGGGUGCAGGCGUUAAUCGGAAUUACUGGGCGUAAAGCGUGCGCAGGCGGUUUGCUAAGACAGGUGUGAAAUCCCCGGGCUUAACCUGGGAACUGCGCUUGUUACUGGCAGGCUUGAGUGUGGCAGAGGGGGGUGGAAUUCCACGUGUAGCAGUGAAAUGCGUAGAUAUCGGGAGGAACAUCUGUGGCGAAGGCGACACCCUGGACCAGCACUGACACUGAGGCACGAAAGCGUGGGGAGCAAACAGG
rnacentral:rRNA from 1 species